GACGUUAAUUAAGCAAAUCCGGUGAAGUUUACGACGCACAGGAACGCAAAGUUGUAACUAGGAUGGAUGUGCGCGUGGUCUUACUUAUGCUCUUGGAUGUCGCUUAUGUUUAUCUUUAAAUAAAGUUGUAAACUUUUAAGACAAUGUUUUAUGUGACCUAGCGAUGUAAACGCUAAACGUAUGUUUCAAAUUAUGAAAGGGGUGUGA
rnacentral:lncRNA from 1 species